rnacentral:rRNA from 1 species
AUUGAACGCUGGCGGCAGGCCUAACACAUGCAAGUCGAACGAGCGGCGGACGGGUGAGUAAUGUCUGGGAAACUGCCCGAUGGAGGGGGAUCACUACUGGAAACGGUAGCUAAUACCGCGUACUUUCGGAAGUGCCCAGAUGGGAUUAGCUUGGAGGUGAGGUAACGGUUCACCUAGGCGACGCUUCCUAGCUGGUCUGAUAGGAUGACCAGCCACACUGGAACUGAGACACGGUCCAGACUCCUAUGGUAGGCGGCAGUGGGGAAUAUUACACUGUUGGCUGAGGCCUGGUGCAGACAUGCCGCGUGUAUGGAGAAGUCCUUCGGGUUUUAGAGUACUUUCAGCUGUGAGGCGGUACCCGCUGAAGAAGCACCGGCUAACUCCGUGCCAGCAGCCGCGGUAAUUC